rnacentral:misc_RNA from 1 species
GUACCCUCAAGCUAUGCUUGGUGUUGGGUGUUUGUCCUCUCCUUGCGUUUGGACUCGCCUUAAAGAAAUUGGCAGCCAGUGUAUUGGUAUUGAAGCGCAGCACAAUUUGCGAUUCUAGCUAAUAGCCACUUGCAACCAUCAAGUCUUCUUAACAC